AGUCAAAAAUCUGUUCAUCUGAAUCUACAGUAAUGGCUGAUCGAACUUUGAGGAGAUGAUGGAAACUUCACCUGUUCAUAUACACUUUCCGGCGAACGCUCUCCUACGCCGGCGGAGUCCUGCAAGCUCCGGCCUUUUCGUAAAGAGGAAACUACGAUUGAGAGCUGAGCGAAUCGGCGACGAGAACGACCCCUUUCUCCAAUCAGCCAUAGAUUCAGCAUCUCUUCGUGUACAAGAAACCCACCGAGCAGAGCCUCUGUUCAUCGAUCCAUAUGCCGAUUGCUUUCUGCAACCUAAUGAGAGGCGGAAGAAUGUGAAUGAACGCGAGCGACAUUACUGCCUUGCAACGAAGUUCAUCGAUGAUAAGUUGUUAGAUAUUGCUAAUGGCAUUGAUGGACUGAAGCAAGUUGUACUACUCACUGAUGGGAUGGACACUCGGCCCUACAGGCUUAAUUGGCCAACUUCGACCAUGAUUUUUGAUAUUUCACCGGAAAGGGUGUUUAAAUUCUCAUCGGAGAAGCUACAAGGUGUUGGGGCUAGGAUCCCUAGAGGGUGCUUGUUCUCUCAUGUGUCCAUGGAAUCCACAAAUAUAGAGCAAAGUUUAUGCUCGAAAGGGUUCAGUGGAAAUCGGCCAAGUAUAUGGGCAAUCCAGGGAUUACCUCUCUUGACAUUGUCAAGCUUUGAAGAUAUUCUAUCGGUCGUUAGUAGCAUGGCCAUGAACGAAUGUUGUUUCUUUGGGGAGCUGCCUUGCUGGUUAGCUCAGACGGAGAACAUGGUCAAGCCGGAUGCGACGAAAUGGAUGGACAAACUUUUCAUGAGCAAUGGUUUUCGGGUGGAUAGAGCUAGCUACGAGGACAUUGCGACGAGCUUAGGUAGGGAAAUGCCGACAGGAAAGUACGAGAACAUAUUGUUCGUGGCUCAACAGCUUAGGUUCUCUGAUGAUCAGAUGGAGACAUGGAGACGAGAGUUUCAGAGGAUCGAGGAAGACGGGGAUGAAGAAGGAUUCGAAGAGCUGUGAAACACAACCUGCACCAUACAACUUUCCUGUGCUAGAGAAUUAUGUACCAUACAACAACCUUUGGAUGGAUGGGGAAGAAAAACUCAGCAACUAACCUAAGAAUGGGUGCAGGUUGAACAUGCUUCUCUCACUCUCUCUCUCUCUCUCUCUCCCUCUGGAUGAAUGGGGAAGAAAAACUCAGCAACUAACCUAAGAAUGGGUGCAGGUUGAACAUACUUCUCCCUCUCUCUCUCUCUCUCUGUAUGAUAUGGAAGCCAUUCAUCUCUCAUCCAAAUCCCAUAUCGGAUGAAAGGAACACAAAAGAAGAAAGAAUCCUUUUUCCCAGGGCCAUUAAACAACAAUGUAACUCAUGAACAAAGACAUUAUGUUGACAGACAUUCACUGAUUCUCA